rnacentral:rRNA from 1 species
GACGAACGCUGGCGGCGUGCUUAACACAUGCAAGUCGAACGGUAAGGCCUUUCGGGGUACACGAGUGGCGAACGGGUGCGUAACACGUGGGUGAUCUGCCCUGCACUUCGGGAUAAGCCCGGGAAACUGGGUCUAAUACCGGAUAGGACUGCGCGGUGCAUGCCGUGUGGUGGAAAGAUUUAUCGGUGCAGGAUGGGCCCGCGGCCUAUCAGCUUGUUGGUGGGGUAAUGGCCUACCAAGGCGACGACGGGUAGCCGGCCUGAGAGGGCGACCGGCCACACUGGGACUGAGACACGGCCCAGACUCCUACGGGAGGCAGCAGUGGGGAAUAUUGCACAAUGGGCGCAAGCCUGAUGCAGCGACGCCGCGUGAGGGAUGACGGCCUUCGGGUUGUAAACCUCUUUCAGCAGGGACGAAGCGUGAGUGACGGUACCUGCAGAAGAAGCACCGGCCAACUACGUG